rnacentral:rRNA from 1 species
CCUGAUAUUGAAAUUCGGUACAGUUUGUACAGGAUAGGUAGGAGCCUUAGAAGCGUGAGCGCUAGCUUACGUGGAGGCAUUGGUGGGAUACUACCCUAAUUGUAUUGGAUUUCUAACCCGCAGCACUUAUCGUGCUGGGAGACAGUGUCAGGCGGGCAGUUUGACUGGGGCGGUCGCCUCCUAAAGAGUAACGGAGGCGCUCAAAGGUUCCCUCAGAAUGGUUGGAAAUCAUUCAUAGAGUGUAAAGGCAUAAGGGAGCUUGACUGCGAGACCUACAAGUCGAGCAGGGUCGAAAGACGGACUUAGUGAUCCGGUGGUUCCGCAUGGAAGGGCCAUCGCUCAACGGAUAAAAGCUACCCCGGGGAUAACAGGCUUAUCUCCCCCAAGAGUUCACAUCGACGGGGAGGUUUGGCACCUCGAUGUCGGCUCAUCGCAUCCUGGGGCUGUAGUCGGUCCCAAGGGUUGGGCUGUUCGCCCAUUAAAGCGGUACGCGAGCUGGGUUCAGAACGUCGUGAGACAGUUCGGUCCCUAUCCGUCGUGGGCGUAGGAAAUUUGAGAGGAGCUGUCCUUAGUACGAGAGGACCGGGAUGGACAUACCUCUGGUGUACCAGUUGUCGUGCCAACGGCAUAGCUGGGUAGCUAUGUAUGGACGGGAUAAGUGCUGAAAGCAUCUAAGCAUGAAGCCCCCCU